UUCCUUUUCUUUGAGUAGU
rnacentral:miRNA from 1 species